rnacentral:tRNA from 3 species
GGAGGGUGCCGCUGAAUGGCCGGCAACUGGUCUUGAAAACCAGGGUAUCCGAAAGGUUAAGGGUUCGAUUCCUUCACCCUCCGCCA